GACGAACGCUGGCGGCGUGCUUAACACAUGCAAGUCGAACGGAAAGGCCCUGCUUUUGUGGGGUGCUCGAGUGGCGAACGGGUGAGUAACACGUGAGUAACCUGCCCUUGACUUUGGGAUAACUUCAGGAAACUGGGGCUAAUACCGGAUAGGAGCUCCUGCUGCAUGGUGGGGGUUGGAAAGUUUCGGCGGUUGGGGAUGGACUCGCGGCUUAUCGGCUUGUUGGUGGGGUAGUGGCUUACCAAGGCUUUGACGGGUAGCCGGCCUGAGAGGGUGACCGGCCACAUUGGGACUGAGAUACGGCCCAGACUCCUACGGGAGGCAGCAGUGGGGAAUAUUGCACAAUGGGCGGAAGCCUGAUGCAGCAACGCCGCGUGCGGGAUGACGGCCUUCGGGUUGUAAACCGCUUUCGCCUGUGACGAAGCGUGAGUGACGGUAAUGGGUAAAGAAGCACCGGCUAACUACGUG
rnacentral:rRNA from 1 species